AAAUUGAAGAGUUUGAUCAUGGCUCAGAUUGAACGCUGGCGGCAGGCCUAACACAUGCAAGUCGAACGGUAACAGGAAGCAGCUUGCUGUUUCGCUGACGAGUGGCGGACGGGUGAGUAAUGUCUGGGAAACUGCCUGAUGGAGGGGGAUAACUACUGGAAACGGUAGCUAAUACCGCAUAACGUCGCAAGACC
rnacentral:rRNA from 1 species